AUAUGGCUCAGGACGAACGCUGGCGGCGUGCCUAAUACAUGCAAGUCGAACGGUCUUUCUAUGGAAGCCUGCUUCCACUGAGAAGAUAGUGGCGAACGGGUGAGUAACACGUGGGUAACCUGCCCAUAAGAGGGGGAUAACAUCCGGAAACGGGUGCUAAUACCGCAUAGUUUUCUUGGUCGCAUGAUCGGGAAAGGAAAGACGGCCUUUGUGCUGUCGCUUAUGGAUGGACCCGCGGCGUAUUAGUUAGUUGGUGAGGUAACGGCUCACCAAGACGAUGAUACGUAGCCGACCUGAGAGGGUGAUCGGCCACAUUGGGACUGAGACACGGCCCAAACUCCUACGGGAGGCAGCAGUAGGGAAUCUUCCGCAAUGGACGAAAGUCUGACGGAGCAACGCCGCGUGAGUGAAAGAAGGUUUUCGGAUCGUAAAACUCUGUUGUCAGAGAAGAACAAGUUGGAGAGUAACUGCUCCAGCCUUGACGGUAUCUGACCAGAAAGCCACGGCUAACUACGUGCCAGCCGCCGC
rnacentral:rRNA from 1 species